CCUACGGGAGGCAGCAGUGGGGGAUAUUGCACAAUGGGGGGAACCCUGAUGCAGCGACGCCGCGUGGGUGAAGAAGUGCUUCGGUGUGUAAAGCUCUAUCAGCAGGGAAGAAAAUGACGGUACCUGAGUAAGAAGCCCCGGCUAACUACGUGCCAGCAGCCGCGGUAAUACGUGGGGUGCAAGCGUUAUCCGGAUUUAUUGGGUUUAAAGGGGGCGUAGACGGGGAGGUAAGUCAGCGGUGAAAUGCCCCCGCCCAACGGGGUGAACUGCCAUUGAUCCUGCCUGGCUGGAAUGCGGAUGCGGUGGGAGGAAUGUGUGGUGUAGCGGUGAAAUGCAUAGAUAUCACACAGAACACCGAUUGCGAAGGCAUCUCACGAAGCCGCGAUUGACGUUGAUGCACGAAAGCGUGGGUAUCAAACAGGAUUAGAUACCCCUGUAGUC
rnacentral:rRNA from 1 species